AUUGAACGCUGGCGGCAGGCCUAACACAUGCAAGUCGAGCGGAUGAAGGGAGCUUGCUCCUGGAUUCAGCGGCGGACGGGUGAGUAAUGCCUAGGAAUCUGCCUGGUAGUGGGGGAUAACGUCCGGAAACGGGCGCUAAUACCGCAUACGUCCUGAGGGAGAAAGUGGGGGAUCUUCGGACCUCACGCUAUCAGAUGAGCCUAGGUCGGAUUAGCUAGUUGGUGGGGUAAAGGCCUACCAAGGCGACGAUCCGUAACUGGUCUGAGAGGAUGAUCAGUCACACUGGAACUGAGACACGGUCCAGACUCCUACGGGAGGCAGCAGUGGGGAAUAUUGGACAAUGGGCGAAAGCCUGAUCCAGGCAUGCCGCGUGUGUGAAGAAGGUCUUCGGAUUGUAAAGCACUUUUAGUCGGGAGGAAGGGCAGUAAGUUAAUAUCUUGCUGUUUUGACGUGACCAACAGAAUAAGCAACGGCUAACUUCGUG
rnacentral:rRNA from 1 species